AAUCCUACGGGAGGCAGCAGUGAGGAAUAUUGGUCAAUGGGCGGGAGCCUGAACCAGCCAAGUCGCGUGAGGGACGACGGUCCUAUGGAUUGUAAACCUCUUUUGUCGGGGAACAAAGGCGCCCACGGGUGGGCGGAUGAGUGUACCCGAAGAAAAAGCAUCGGCUAACUCCGUGCCAGCAGCCGCGGUAAUACGGAGGAUCCGAGCGUUAUCCGGAUUUAUUGGGUUUAAAGGGAGCGUAGAUGGGUUGUUAAGUCAGUUGUGAAAGUUUGCGGCUCAACCGUAAAAUUGCAAUUGAUACUGGC
rnacentral:rRNA from 1 species